rnacentral:pre_miRNA from 1 species
CAGAGGUAUUGUAAUAUCGUGAUACUACAAUACUCACCACGAUACGGCGAUAAUUCUGAU